CUGACAGUUAUGACUCUGAACAUGGACUUUAUCAAACGUGGUGUUAGCAGCUUGUUCCUGUUUCUGCUCUGGGUAAAAGGUCUGGCUGAUGGCAGUGAUGUCACACAGACUGCCAUAGUGUGGGAGAAAAAGGGAGACAAUGCAACAAUGCACUGCAACCACACCAAAGGUGGAACAUAUUUCCAGAUGUACUGGUACAGACAGCUGCCGGGAGAAGACAUGAAACAAGUCGCGUUAACAAUAGCAGGCAGUGAAGAUCACGAUUUUGGAAAUUUCAGUGCGAAAAAGUUCGCAGCCACCAAACCCGACGCUCACAGUGGAACAUUCACGGUGAAGAAUGUGGAGCCCAGUGACAAAGGCUGGUAUUUCUGUGCCGUGGCUCAGCCCCACAGUGACACCGUCAACUGA